rnacentral:rRNA from 1 species
AUGAACGCUAGCGGCAGGCUUAACACAUGCAAGUCGAGGGGUAUGCUUCUUCGGAAGCAGAGACCGGCGCACGGGUGCGUAACGCGUAUGCAAUCUACCUUUUACAGAGGGAUAGCCCAGAGAAAUUUGGAUUAAUACCUCAUAGUAUUAUAGAAUGGCAUCAUUUUAUAAUUAAAGUCACAACGGUAAAAGAUGAGCAUGCGUCCCAUUAGCUAGUUGGAAGGUAACGGCUUACCAAGGCUACGAUGGGUAGGGGUCCUGAGAGGGAGAUCCCCCACACUGGUAC